rnacentral:lncRNA from 1 species
UCUGCCCGCCUUGGCCUUCUCAAAGUGCUGGGAUUACAGACAUGAGCCACCGCGCCCGGCCAAAACUGGGCUUUUCUACGGUGGGGAGAGCAGAGCUAUUCUCUCUGGGGUGGGUGCUUGUCUGGGACUUGUCACCAUCCCUUACUCCAGGGCUGUCUUCAGCACUGUCGCCCACAGUCUUUCCGAACGCCUUAUUCAGAUGUUAUAAUUUCCCACACGAUGUUCCUGACCAAGAAACGCAUUUUACAGCAAAGGGGUGAGGAACGGAUCUGUGGCCAUAGGAUCCCAGAGCCGUGUCCCCGCCACUCAGGAGCAGGCGACCUGAGCAGAAGGGCUUGGCGCUGGUGGGCAGUGGGAGCCCUGCCAUGGGCGGCCCGAGGGGUGGUGGGAUCCCCGCCGUGGGCAACCCCGGGGGCGGUGGGAGCCACGCUGUGGGUGGGCUGGAGGCCCUACUGGGUGUGCUACCGGAAGGGAGGUCCUGACUGUGAGUCCAUGUUCCUGGCAUGUUGAACAAAGAAUUGAGCAAAACUCACAAAACGACAAAUAACAGAGUAAUGAAAGCGCAGAUCCUUUGCAGUGAACAUGCACUCCACAAGGGGGGACGGGACUCCAGCAAGUGCUCCGGAGCCCCCAUUAGGGUUUGUAUUGGGCUAAAAGAAUUUGGUAACACCCCCAGGUGCCCUUUCCAGGUCUCUGAUUGGCUGCAUCCUAUGAAGACUGGCCUGCGGCCAAUCAGAGGCUGAGGUGGAGACUCCUGUCUUGUUUUCCCAGGAAGGAGGCUGCGGCCUGUGUGCCGCCCAAUCCAGCCAGGAACCGGUGGCACCUGCUGCCCUCCGGCUUCUGCCUUAGCCCUCGGUGACCCCAUUCCCUGUUCUCCUGCCUCAGGUGCAGGGCGAUGGUUCUCAGUCAACGCUGGGGCCAGAGCCGGGGCUGGGGCCGCUCGUUCUGCACAGGUCCCGGGAGUGGCGGUGAGCAAUGCUCUCGCUCUCAGCGACCCACGUGCAAAGCGCUCCCUGCGCCCCCGACCCCGCAGCUUUGGGCUCUGCUGACUUCAAGGCUUCAUUCUUCCUCCAGGAGAACACAGCAGGUCCCUCCGACCGCAGUCGGCCUCUCCAGCCUGCCAUGCCUCUGGCCAUGAGGCGACCCGCUGGAGUGAUGGAUUCCCGUCACUACCACCCACAGGGCGAGGGGGUGCAUUGGUCUGCUUGGGCCGCUGUAACAAAAUGCCACAGCCUGGAUGAGUGACUGACAUUGCUUCCCCACCGUUCUGGAGGCUGGAGGCCCGAGAUCGAGGUCCCUGACACUAUUUCAGUGAUGCCAGAGCCCAGGAGGAGUCGACCAAGCCCCAGCGUGGCCAUAAGCACCUUCGCAGGACCACGGAGUCGCUGCAGGUGUUCAGCCCUGUUGAGAGUGGGAGUCGGUGUCGAUGGUCACAGCUCAGUAACUCAUCGUCACCAGCGAGUACCACAGAGCAGACACAACUGCACUUCUCUGUAGAGCCUCCAGUCGAUACUGAGAGCCACUGGGGCGUCUGACACCCAAGGGUGCAGACAUUCACUCCAAGUCCAGAGACCGCGCCCUUUCUAAGGCCCUGUCUCACAGUCGCCCCGUGCUCAUUGUGCCGGAUGUUUCCACAGCCACAGAGACGGUGCGUGAAGGUGAGGUGCAGCCUAGUGCAUAUGACUGACAGAAACGUGAAGCCACAGUGGACGCCUGGAUGAGACACAGAUCACCUUCCAAAUCUGAGUGUGGCCUUGGGACCAACCAGGCAGCCAGGGAGAAGGCAGAGACCAGAGGGAACCCAGGUGCCCUCAAUCCCAGCCUCCUCUAUCCCAGCCUCCCAAUCCCAGCCUCCCCAAUCCCAGCCUCCUAAUCCCAGCCUCCUCCAUCCCAGGACCCCCACUCCCAGCCUCCCGAUCCCAGCUUCUCUGAUCCCAGCCUCCCCUAAAACCCAGACUCUAUGAAUCCCAGCCUCUGAGGUGGGAACUGUUAGUAACCCCACUCCAUGGACAAGAAAGCUGGGGCCUGGCGAGGCUAACAGACUAUCCUGAUGGUGUGAGGGAGGGAUCGGCCUCUGAGGGCUGCUUCCACCCAUCUCACCAGUGGCUGCAGGCUCCAGGCGCCACUUUCCUUGAGUCUAUGUUCUUUCCAAGCAUCCUGCAGCUCCAGAAGCUCUGGAGCCGCCAGCACUGAGAGAAGCGAUGGAGCUGCAUGCAGGGAAACUUUGUUGACAGCGGUGUCUGGAUGGACCAGCAGAGGGCACUCUCACCCACGGGGAAAAUCGUGCGCCCGGCCUCGUCCACCGCCAGAAGACGCCGC